GGCGGUUAAUACGUAAGGGGGCCAAGGCGUUAUCCGGAAAUUAUUGGGCGUAAAGGAGUGCUGUAGGGUGUUUUUAUUAAGGCGCAGGGUUGAAAGGCCAUUGGCUCAACUUAUUGGUAAGCCUUUGGCGAACUGUUAAGGACCUGGAGUGCAAGAGGGAGGAAAAGUGGGAAUUCCUAGUUGUAAGCGGGUGAAAUGGCGUAGAAUAUUAGGGAGGAACCACCAGGUGGGCGAAGGGCGACUUUCUGGACUGUAACUGAACACUGAAGGCACGAAAAGCGUGGGGGAGCAAACAGGAUUUAGAUACCCUGGUAGUCCACGGCCGUAAACGAUGAGCACUAGGUGUCGGGGUCGCAAGGCUUCGGUGCCGCAGUUAACGCAUUAAGUGCUCCGCCUGGGGAGUACGCACGCAAGUGUGAAACUCAAAGGAAUUGACGGGGACCCGCACAAGCAGCGGAGCAUGUGGUUUAAUUCGGAGCAACGCGAAGAACCUUACCAGGACUUGACAUCCCUCUGACCGCUCUCUAACAGGAGCUUCUCUUCGGAGCAGAGGAGACAGGUGGUGCGUGGUUGUCGUCAGCUCGUGUCGUGAGAUGUUGGGUUAAGUCCCGCAACGAGCGCAACCCUUGUCAUUAGUUGCCAUCAGUUCGGCUGGGCACUCUAGUGAGACUGCCGGGGAUAACUCGGAGGAAGGUGGGGAUGACGUCAAAUCAUCAUGCCCCUUAUGUUCUGGGCUACACACGUGCUACAAUGGCUGGUACAAAGAGACGCAAGACGGUGACGUGGAGCAAAUCUCAAAAACCAGUCCCAGUUCGGAUUGUAGGCUGCAACUCGCCUACAUGAAGUUGGAGUUGCUAGUAAUCGCGAAUCAGAACGUCGCGGUGAAUGCGUUCCCGGGUCUUGUACACACCGCCCGUCACACCAUGGAAGUUGGGGGCGCCCGAAGU
rnacentral:rRNA from 1 species